GAUAAACGCUGGCGGCGUGCCUAAUACAUGCAAGUCGAACGAAGGGUUUGUAGCAAUACGGGCCCUUAGUGGCGAAUGGGUGAGUAACGCGUUGGUGAUCUGCCCCGAAGUAAGGAAUAACAGCUCGAAAGGGCUGCUAAUACCACAUGUGGUCGUGAGGAUUAGAUGCCUUGCGUCUAAAGCAGCAAUGCGCUUCGGGAGGAACCUGCGUCCCAUCAGCUAGUUGGUGAGGUAACGGCUCACCAAGGCUACGACGGGUAGGGGGCCUGAGAGGGUAGCCCCCCACACUGGCACUGAAACACGGGCCAGACACCUACGGGAGGCAG
rnacentral:rRNA from 1 species